rnacentral:rRNA from 1 species
GACGAACGCUGGCGGCGUGCUUAACACAUGCAAGUCGAACGGAAAGGCCCUGCUUUUGUGGGGUGCUCGAGUGGCGAACGGGUGAGUAACACGUGAGUAACCUGCCCUUGACUUUGGGAUAACUUCAGGAAACUGGGGCUAAUACCGGAUAGGAGCUCCUGCUGCAUGGUGGGGGUUGGAAAGUUUCGGCGGUUGGGGAUGGACUCGCGGCUUAUCAGCUUGUUGGUGGGGUAGUGGCUUACCAAGGCUUUGACGGGUAGCCGGCCUGGGAGGGUGACCGGCCACAUUGGGACUGAGAUGCGGCCCAGACUCCUACGGGAGGCAGCGGUGGGGAAUAGUGCACAAUGGGCGGAAGCCUGAUGCAGCAACGCCGCGUGCGGGAUGACGGCCUUCGGGUUGUAAACCGCUUUCGCCUGUGACGAAGCGUGAGUGACGGUAAUGGGUAAAGAAGCACCGGCUAACUACGUG